GGGGACAGAUUUUGUUUUCUAAUAAUAUUUAAUUUUUUUUAAUAUUUUUUUUUUUUUUUUUGCUGGUGGCAGCUGCCCCCACCACCUUGGCUGUGGGUCCGCCCCUGGUUACACGAAAUAUAAUACAUGCAUAACUACACAUCUCAACUAUAUAAAGAUAACUACUGUAUAUAUCUUGCAUGUCCACAUAUAUCUAACUAUGGAUGUUUUCAUUCUUUGCUUUUAACCCUAGCUAUAAUUUUCGACGUAUUCCCUUGAAAACAUGUUUUGAAUUUUAAUUUAGCUUGCUCACAUAUUUGAAAGAAGUUUUGAGAUCAUCAUGCUCGAGGAAUUAAACACAUGUCUCAGGACAAAGAAAGAUGAGAUGCAAAACAUGCAAGUAAAGGAUAGACAAAUUACAAAGCAUAAGACUGGUUUGGUCUUCAACUUUCUCUGUUGAACCAACUUCAUGGUAGCCAGUCAUCGCCUCCAUCUACCGGCUAAAGCUUUAGAACUUGCAUCUUCUAUAACGUUGUCCAUAUGCAUCUAAUCCUUCGUCAUCCUGAAACUUGUUCCUAAUUCUUCGUGCUUGUUUUUUGUAUUAAUCAUUGACAAACAUGUUCUAAUUCGUGCUAAGACCCUUUCAUUUUACGAUUUUUGGGUGAAACAAUAGAAAAAUUUGUAAAAUAAUUUGUGAAAGAGAAUGAAUUGAAAAUAUAAAGCUCUGUAUAGUUCAGUACUAAGAUACAAAACACUAACACUUUUCUUUAGCUAAUUUAAAACCGC
rnacentral:lncRNA from 1 species